AAAUCGGUCCUUUUGAGGACCAUCAAUUUCUUUUACGAAGAACAAU
rfam:Melipona quadrifasciata isolate 0111107301 unplaced genomic scaffold scaffold32, whole genome shotgun sequence.